rnacentral:rRNA from 1 species
AGAUUGAACGCUGGCGGUAGGCCUAACACAUGCAAGUCGAGCGCGAAAGUGCCUUCGGGUGCGAGUAGAGCGGCGGACGGGUGCGUAACGCGUAGGAGUCUGCCUGGUAGUGGGGGAUAACUCGGGGAAACUCGAGCUAAUACCGCAUACGCCCCAUGGGGGAAAGCGGGGGACCUUCGGGCCUCGCGCUAUCAGAUGAGCCUGCGUCGGAUUAGCUAGUUGGUAGGGUAAUGGCCUACCAAGGCGACGAUCCGUAGCUGGUCUGAGAGGAUGAUCAGCCACACUGGGACUGAGACACGGCCCAGACUCCUACGGGAGGCAGCAGUGGGGAAUAUUGGACAAUGGGGGCAACCCUGAUCCAGCCAUACCGCGUGUGUGAAGAAGGCCUUCGGGUUGUAAAGCACUUUCAGUGGGAGGAAAGUUGCCGGCGAUACCCGGCGACCGUGACGCUACCUGCCAGAAGAAGCACCGGCAAACUCCGUGCCAGCAGCCGCGAACUC